UAAAUAUAAGCUAGCAGAAAAAAUGUUUAAAGUAGAUGUUGAUUACUUUGAACACGAAAUUCAUUUGAUUUUUGAUGACGCAUUUGAAACUGAUAAAAAAUCUAGGCAAAGAUUACCAAAUAAAUGGGUAAAACAGCUGGUAGAAUGCAUGGAAGAGGCAUCAACAUCAGUCGCAAGGGGCCGCCUGAAAUGGGAUACUAAGCCAACAAAAACAACUACACCAUAUGGGGGACGAUUGAAUUGGACCAUGCCAGGGGGAACAGAAAUGACGAUUCAUUUGAAAGAUAAAGAGAAAGUCAGACACCGAAAACGAAGG